UGGAAAAUACUUCUCCAGACUGGUCUUCC
rnacentral:sRNA from 1 species